GUCUACAGCCAUGCUACCCCGGACUAGCCUGAUCUAAGAAGUUUACUAGGGUUAGGCCUGGUGAGUACUUGCAUGGGAGAUGGCCUGGGAAUACAGAGUGCGGUAGACU
rnacentral:rRNA from 1 species